rnacentral:rRNA from 1 species
GAUGAACGCUAGCGGCAGGCUUAAUACAUGCAAGUCGAACGGUAAGGUUUCUUCGGAGACACACGAGUGGCGCACGGGUGCGUAACGCGUAUGCAACCUACCUUUAACUGGGAGAUAGCCCCGAGAAAUCGGGAAUAAUACCCCAUAAUAUUCAGAGGACACCUGUUUUUUGAAUCAAAGUUCCGGCGGUUAGAGAUGGGCAUGCGUGGCAUUAGCUAGUUGGUAAGGUAACGGCUUACCAAGGCUAUGAUGCCUAGGGGUUCUGAGAGGAUAUACCCCCACACUGGUACUGAGACACGGACCAGACUCCUACGGGAGGCAG